CAGUAGCCACGGGAAUACAGAGGGUGCGAGCGUUAAUCGGAUUUACUGGGCGUAAAGCGUGCGUAGGCGGCUUUUUAAGUCGGAUGUGAAAUCCCUGAGCUUAACUUAGGAAUUGCAUUCGAUACUGGGAAGCUAGAGUAUGGGAGAGGAUGGUAGAAUUCCAGGUGUAGCGGUGAAAUGCGUAGAGAUCUGGAGGAAUACCGAUGGCGAAGGCAGCCAUCUGGCCUAAUACUGACGCUGAGGUACGAAAGCAUGGGGAGCAAACAGGAUUAGAUACCCGGGUAGUCCCUGUCUCUUAUAA
rnacentral:rRNA from 1 species